rnacentral:rRNA from 1 species
CCUACGGGAGGCAGCAGUGGGGAAUAUUGCACAAUGGGGGAAACCCUGAUGCAGCGACGCCGCGUGAGUGAAGAAGUAAUUCGGUAUGUAAAGCUCUAUCAGCAGGGAAGAAAAUGACGGUACCUGAGUAAGAAGCCCCGGCUAACUACGUGCCAACAUCCGCGGUAAUACGUAGGGGGCAAGCGUUAUCCGGAUUUACUGGGUGUAAAGGGAGCGUAGACGGCAGUGCAAGUCUGGAGUGAAAGGCGGGGGCUCAACCCCCGGACUGCUCUGGAAACUGUACGGCUGGAGUGCAGGAGAGGUAAGUGGAAUUCCUAGUGUAGCGGUGAAAUGCGUAGAUAUUAGGAGGAACACCAGUGGCGAAGGCGGCUUACUGGACUGUAACUGACGUUGAGGCUCGAAAGCGUGGGGAGCAAACAGGAUUAGAUACCCUUGUAGUC